AUUGAACGCUGGCGGAAUGCUUUACACAUGCAAGUCGAACGGUAGAGGGGGCAACCCCUCGAGAGUGGCGAACGGGUGAGUAAUAUAUCGGAACGUGCCCAGUCGUGGGGGAUAACGUAGCGAAAGUUACGCUAAUACCGCAUACGCCCUGAGGGGGAAAGCGGGGGACCGUAAGGCCUCGCGCGAUUAGAGCGGCCGAUACCUGAUUAGCUAGUUGGUGAGGUAAAGGCUCACCAAGGCAACGAUCAGUAGCUGGUCUGAGAGGACGAUCAGCCACACUGGGACUGAGACACGGCCCAGACUCCUACGGGAGGCAGCAGUGGGGAAUUUUGGACAAUGGGGGCAACCCUGAUCCAGCAAUGCCGCGUGAGUGAAGAAGGCCUUCGGGUUGUAAAGCUCUUUUGUCAGGGAAGAAACAGCAGCUCUAACACAGUCUGCGAAUGACGGUACCUGAAGAAUAAGCACCGGCUAACUACGUG
rnacentral:rRNA from 1 species